rnacentral:rRNA from 1 species
GAAGUACCGGCUAACUACAUGCCAGCAGCCGCGGUAAUACGUAGGGUACAAGCGUUGUCCGGAAUUAUUGGGCGUAAAGAGCUCGUAGGCGGUCCGUCGCGUCUGCUGUGGAAACGCAAGGCUCAACCUUGCGCGUGCAGUGGGUACGGGCGGACUAGAGUGCAGUAGGGGAGUCUGGAAUUCCUGGUGUAGCGGUGAAAUGCGCAGAUAUCAGGAGGAACACCGGUGGCGAAGGCGGGACUCUGGGCUGUUACUGACGCUGAGGAGCGAAAGCAUGGGGAGCGAACAGGAUUAGAUACCCUGGUAGUCCAUGCCGUAAACGUUGGGCACUAGGUGUGGGGCUCAUUCCACGAGUUCCGCGCCGCAGCUAACGCAUUAAGUGCCCCGCCUGGGGAGUACGGCCGCAAGGCUAAAACUCAAAGGAAUUGACGGGGGCCCGCACAAGCGGCGGAGCAUGCGGAUUAAUUCGAUGCAACGCGAAGAACCUUACCAAGGCUUGACAUACACCGGAAUGUGCCAGAGAUGGUUCAGCCCUUUGGGCUGGUGUACAGGUGGUGCAUGGUUGUCGUCAGCUCGUGUCGUGAGAUGUUGGGUUAAGUCCCGCAACGAGCGCAACCCUCGUUCUAUGUUGCCAGCACGUGAUGGUGGGAACUCAUAGGAGACUGCCGGGGUCAACUCGGAGGAAGGUGGGGAUGACGUCAAAUCAUCAUGCCCUUUAUGUCUUGGGCUUCACGCAUGCUACAAUGGUCGGUACAAAGGGUUGCGAGACCGUGAGGUGGAGCGAAUCCCAGAAAGCCGAUCUCAGUUCGGAUCGUAGUCUGCAACUCGACUACGUGAAGUCGGAGUCGCUAGUAAUCGCAGAUCAGCAACG